CCUACGGUGGGCAGCAGUCGAGAAUCAUUCACAAUGGGGGAAACCCUGAUGGGGCGACGCCGCGUGGGGGAAUGAAGGUCUGCGGAUUGUAAACCCCUGUCAUGUGGGAGCAAAUUAAAAAGAUAGUACCACAAGAGGAAGAGACGGCUAACUCUGUGCCAGCAGCCGCGGUAAUACAGAGGUCUCAAGCGUUGUUCGGAAUCACUGGGCGUAAAGCGUGCGUAGGCUGUUUCGUAAGUCGUGUGUGAAAGGCGCGGGCUCAACCCGCGGACGGCACAUGAUACUGCGAGACUAGAGUAAUGGAGUGGGAACCGGAAUUCUCGGUGUAGCAGUGAGAUGCGUAGAUAUCGAGAGGAACACUCGUGGCGAAGGCGGGUUCCUGGACAUUAACUGACGCUGAGGCACGAAGGCCAGGGGAGCGAAAGGGAUUAGAUACCCGGGUAGUC
rnacentral:rRNA from 1 species